CGGGUGCAACCCCCUUCACUAACGGCCUUUACGCGACAUCCGAGCAGCGUGUCUAUCCCAAAGGCCUAGGAGCAUUUGCCCGGCUCGGUCAAAUCUAGCGCAAGUUUGAAGCCUGCGGCCUCGCAAUUUUAGCAGCUUCGUUCCAGGCCAGGCUUCCUGACCACAGCCUCAACUUUGAGCAGCUCAGAGCCCUGCCUGCUGGGAUGGGAGCCACUGCCUGGAUCGUGGCUCUACAGGGCCACCCAUGAUGGAACAGGUCGCCUGGUGAGGUGGACGCCCACCACCUCCAUGCUGAGUGGAGGGGGCCACAGCCCUGGCAUGCAGCCCUGCCCAGUAGCCCGGUGCCUGCCCCUGCCACGCAGGAGGCCCCCCGGCCUGCCAGCAGCCUCAGGCCUCCCCGCUGUGGUGUGCCCGACCCACCUGAUGGGCUGAGUGCCCGCAACCGACAGAAGAGGUUCGUGCUUUCUGGCGGGCGCUGGGAGAAGACGGACCUCACUUACAGGAUCCUUCGGUUCCCAUGGCAGCUGGUGCAGGAGCAGGUGCAGCAGAUGAUGGCAGAGGCCCUAAAGGUAUGGAGCGAUGUGACGCCACUCACCUUCACUGAGGUGCACGAGGGCCGUGCUGACAUCAUGAUCGACUUCGCCAGGUGAAUGGGCGGCCUGGGACCCCUCCGGGAAUAGCCUCACCUGCCAGCAGCCACUGACCCCGCCCCCACCCAUCUGUAGGUACUGGCAUGGGGACGACCUGCCGUUUGAUGGGCCUGGGGGCAUCCUGGCCCAUGCCUUCUUCCCUAAGACUCACCGAGAAGGGGAUGUCCACUUCGACUAUGAUGAGACCUGGACUAUCGGGGAUGACCAGGGAACAGACCUGCUGCAGGUGGCAGCCCAUGAAUUUGGCCACGUGCUGGGGCUGCAGCACACAACAGCAGCCAAGGCCCUGAUGUCCGCUUUCUACACCUUUCGCUACCCACUGAGUCUCAGCCCAGAUGACCGCAGGGGCAUUCAACAC
rnacentral:sRNA from 1 species